CGCCUUUAUACCCGCACAGGUAACCGGGAACUGGCCGCCGAGCGCGGCCAUUGGACAGGCGCCUCUCGGCCCCGCACUCUCCCAGCUCCCAUUGGACAUCGCACCUGCCUGUCAACUCGCCUCGGCCUGUUCGACUCCACCCUCCAGAGCAGCCCGCCCAGAGAGAGCUGAGUGAGUGGGGAAGCAGGCAUGGGACUGCGAGCGAGAGCGACACGGGGAAAGCAGGCGUGUGUGUGGUGUGAGGGGCAUAAGGGGAACGAGCGGAGAGCGGAUAUGCUUUAAUGGUUCAACACGGGAAUGUACCACAUUGAGGCAAGAGAGACCAUGGAGGACGGAGAGAUCAAGGAUGACCUUUUUAAAUAAUGGUUAUGGUCUAAAUGUUGGACUCUGACGUUCAACAGAAAGAACUUAAGCAGUUGGUUGAUGCACCUAUCUAAUACUGUAUAACCUUGGCUCCAAGUGCUUGGUACUACCCAGGACUCUUUUCAGGGAUAUCUUCCCUUUGCCAAGAUAAUUCACAAACUUUGAUCUUACUAAAACCAUCUCUACUUCAUGAGCCUCAGAUAGCAUUGGUGUGCAAAGGUCUGGACUCGCGGUACCUAAAAGGCCACUUGAAGCUCAAGAAUGAAGACUGUGGUCAACAACUCAGCUCCUCAGACACAAGACAGCUAGCUACUGCAAAGGUUGAGCUUGUUUGUGCAGGAAACAGAGGUCCCCGGGGCCAUCCAAGACUGAAAAGCUCUUGCAGGAUUUAAGAAACACCUCAGUCAUCACUGCUCCCAUUCGAAGGGCAAGGCACACUCCUUUGACCUUGCCUUAAUAAACACACACAACAUCCAUAAAGUAAAAAACAAAAAGCAAAACUCAGUUUUCCCUUUGGAGAGGAAGAUGGUAGAAGAGGAGACUCACAUGACAAGGGCUAGUCAUUUUGCUUAAUGCACUUCUAGAAGAUGCUCUGAUGCUACAUUGAUGAGGACAGUAUAAGAAAAUGAAUAGCAUAAAAUUCCAAGUUCAGGUAAAGUGAGGCACGAAGAGGUUAAAUUACUUGUUUAAAGUCCUCUUCAAUGGACGUUUCAGAGGCAGGAAGAGAACCCUGGAGUCCUGCUUCAGAUGAAUUACAGACUUAGGCCCCAGUUCUGCAACAGACUCUGCAUAAGUGCGGGGAUACGUUUGAGUGGAACCAAUUGCAGGAUUAGGGCUUU